UACGGAGGAGGCAAGCGUUAUCCGGAAUUAUUGGGCGUAAAGCGUCCGCAGGUGGCACUGCAAGUCUGUCGUCAAAGACUGGGGCUUAACCCUGGAAAGGCGGCGGAAACUGAAGCGCUAGAGUGCGGUAGGGGUAGAGGGAAUUCCCGGUGUAGCGGUGAAAUGCGUAGAGAUCGGGAAGAACAUCGGUGGCGAAAGCGCUCUACUGGACCGCAACUGACACUCAGGGACGAAAGCUAGGGGAGCGAAUGGG
rnacentral:rRNA from 1 species